rnacentral:rRNA from 1 species
AGCGAACGCUGGCGGCAGGCCUAACACAUGCAAGUCGAGCGGGCACCGCAAGGUGUCAGCGGCAGACGGGAGAGUAACACGUGGGAACGUGCCCUUCGGUUCGGAAUAACUCGGGGAAACUCGUGCUAAUACCGAAUACGCCCUUACGGGGAAAGAUUUAUCGCCGAUGGAGCGGCCCGCGUCUGAUUAGCUAGUUGGUGAGGUAAUGGCUCACCAAGGCGACGAUCAGUAGCUGGUCUGAGAGGAUGAUCAGCCUCACUGGGACUGAGACACGGCCCAGACUCCUACGGGAGGCAGCAGUGGGGAAUAUUGGACAAUGGGCGCAAGCCUGAUCCAGCCAUGCCGCGUGGAUGAUGAAGGCCUUAGGGUUGUAAAGUCCUUUUAACGGGGAAGAUAAUGACGGUACCCGUAGAAUAAGCCCCGGCUAACUUCGUGCCAGCCGCCGCCGUAA